rnacentral:lncRNA from 1 species
UCUGGCUUUGAAUUUUUGAAUUUCUGUGUGCUGGGUGGAUGGGGGAACAGCUGGGGAGGUGUUUGCAAGAAUCUGGGAGCUUGUGUGCUUUUUUUUGAAUUUUUAUGAUUUUUUUGUGACCAUUGGGCCAUGUUGUUUUUUUUUGAAAAAAGUUUCUGGGUUUUAAAUUUCUGUGUGCUGGGUGGCUGGGGGAACAGCUGGGGAGGUGUUUGCAAGAAUCUGGGAGCUUGUGUGAUGAUUUAUGAAUUUUUAUGAUUUUUGUGUGCCCAUUGGGCCAUGUUGUUUUUUUUUGAAAAAGUUUCUGGGUUUUAAAUUUCUGUGUGCUGGGUGGAUUGGGGAACAGCUGGGGAGGUGUUUGCAAGAAUCUGGGAGCUUGUGUGCUUUUUUUUGAAUUUUUAUGAUUUUUUUGUGACCAUUGGGC